GAUGAACGCUGGCGGCGUGCCUAAUACAUGCAAGUCGAACGCAUUGUGGUUGAAAUGAUAUGAAGAACUUGUUCAGAUUUGAUUUUCAACAUUGCAAUGAGUGGCGAACGGGUGAGUAACACGUGGGAAACCUACCUCUUAGCAGGGGAUAACAUUUGGAAACAAAUGCUAAUACCGUAUAAUAAUUAAAACCGCAUGGUUUUAGUUUAAAAGAUGGUCUUGCUAUCACUAAGAGAUGGUCCCGCGGUGUAUUAGUUAGUUGGUGAGGUAAUGGCUCACCAAGACAAUGAUACAUAGCCGAGUUGAGAGACUGACCGGCCACAAUGGGACUGAGACACGGCCCAUACUCCUACGGGAGGCAGCAGUAGGGAAUCUUCCACAAUGGACGAAAGUCUGAUGGAGCAACGCGCGUGUGUGAUGAAGGGUUUCGGCUUCGUAAAACACUGUUGUAAGAGAAGAAUGACAUUGAGAGUAACUGUUCAAUGUGUGACGGUAU
rnacentral:rRNA from 1 species